GAUGAACGCUGGCGGCGUGCCUAAUACAUGCAAGUCGAGCGAACGGACGAGGAGCUUGCUUUUCUGAUGUUAGCGGCGGAAGGGUGAGUAAAACGUGGAUAACCUACCUAUAAGACUGGGAUAACUUCGGGAAGCCGGAGCUAAUACCGGAUAAUAUUUUGAACCGCAUGGUUCAUAAGUGAAAGACGGUCUUGCUUUCACUUAUAGAUGGAUCCGCGCUGCAUUAGCUAGUUGGUAAGGUAACGGCUUACCAAGGCAACGAUGCAUAGCCGACCUGAGAGGGUGAUCGGCCACACUGGAACUGAGACACGGUCCAGACUCCUACGGGAGGCAGCAGUAGGGAAUCUUCCGCAAUGGGCGAAAGCCUGACGGAGCAACGCCGCGUGAGUGAUGAAGGUCUUCGGAUCGUAAAACUCUGUUAUUAGGGAAGAACAUAUGUGUAAGUAACUGUGCAAAUCUUGACGGUACCUAAUCAGAAAGCCACGGCUAACUACGUG
rnacentral:rRNA from 1 species